rnacentral:rRNA from 1 species
UACGAAGGGGGCUAGCGUUGUUCGGAAUUACUGGGCGUAAAGCGCGCGUAGGCGGCCUGCUAAGUCGAACGUGAAAUCCCCUGGGCUCAACCCAGGAACUGCGUCCGAUACUGGUUGGCUUGAAUCCGGGAGAGGGAUGUGGAAUUCCAGGUGUAGCGGUGAAAUGCGUAGAUAUCUGGAGGAACACCGGGUGGCGAAAGGCGACAUCCUGGACCGGUAGUGACGGCUGAGG